rnacentral:rRNA from 1 species
AACGUAGGACACAAGCGUUAUCCGGAGUUACUGGGCGUAAAGAGCGUGUAGGCGGCCAUUUAGGUCCGGUGUGAAAACUCGAGGCUUAACCUCGAGAUGUCAUCGGAAACCAUUUGGCUAGAGUCCGGAAGAGGAGAGUGGAAUUCCUGGUGUAGCGGUGAAAUGCGCAGAUAUCAGGAAGAACACCAAUGGCGAAAGCAGCUCUCUGGGACGGUACUGACGCUGAGACGCGAAAGCGUGGGGAGCGAACAGG